AUACGAAGGGGGCGUAGCGUUGUUCGGAAUUACUGGGCGUAAAGCGCAUGUAGGCGGACAUUUAAGUCAGGGGUGAAAUCCCGGGGCUCAACCUCGGAACUGCCUUUGAUACUGGGUGUCUAGAGUGUGGAAGAGGUAAGUGGAAUUCCGAGUGUAGAGGUGAAAUUCGUAGAUAUUCGGAGGAACACCAGUGGCGAAGGCGACUUUCUGGACCGUAACUGACGCUGAGGCAUGAAAGCGUGGGUAGC
rnacentral:rRNA from 1 species